GAUAUGCUUAGAGCCAUUGGUCCCACGGCCACAUCUGUGGGCAGACAGUAGGGUGGGAGUGAAGGGAGACCUCCGUGGGGACAGUCGAUGCCGUAGGUGUCCAUGGUGACUUCUCGAGAUCGUGGAUAAGGAAACGGGUCCUUCUGUGUUCCUAAAAGGUCUCCACACCCCACAGAUGUGGGCAUGCGUGGGAUAAAGGAGGCCCCUCCCUAAAGGUAGCAACACCUUGUUGUCUGCCAUUUUCGGCGCGGGCCACAUCCCUCAGCUCCUGCGUCUCUGCUGCGAAGCUGCAGGAGGAGUUUGGGAUUUUCAGUCUGUCAGGGAGGGCACUGUCGCCUCUGCUUUCCCAGGCUGCCUUCAUCUCCUCCACUGUGGCCAAGCUGAGGAUGCCUCCUGGACUUUGCCCCAGCUCCCGCACCUGAGGUGCUGGCGAACCCUAGACAGGAACAUCCUGCUGGACGGGCAGAGCUCUGAGAAGGCACUCACGCAGCCCUGGGUGCCUCCUAAUGGUGCGGGGGCUCUGGAGGCCUCAUCAGAUGCCUU
rnacentral:lncRNA from 1 species